GCAGCCAUGCCGCGUGUAUGAAGAAGGCCUUCGGGUUGUAAAGUACUUUCAGUUGUGAGGAAGGGGGUGUCGUUAAUAGCGGCAUCUCUUGACGUUAGCAACAGAAGAAGCACCGGCUAACUCCGUGCCAGCAGCCGCGGUAAUACGGAGGGUGCGAGCGUUAAUCGGAAUUACUGGGCGUAAAGCGCAUGCAGGUGGUUCAUUAAGUCAGAUGUGAAAGCCCGGGGCUCAACCUCGGAACUGCAUUUGAAACUGGUGAACUAGAGUACUGUAGAGGGGGGUAGAAUUUCAGGUGUAGCGGUGAAAUGCGUAGAGAUCUGAAGGAAUACCAGUGGCGAAGGCGGCCCCCUGGACAGAUACUGACACUCAGAUGCGAAAGCGUGGGGAGCAAACAGGAUUAGAUACCCUGGUAGUCCACGCCGUAAACGAUGUCUACUUGGAGGUUGUGGCCUUGAGCCGUGGCUUUCGGAGCUAACGCGUUAAGUAGACCGCCUGGGGAGUACGGUCGCAAGAUUAAAACUCAAAUGAAUUGACGGGGGCCCGCACAAGCGGUGGAGCAUGUGGUUUAAUUCGAUGCAACGCGAAGAACCUUACCUACUCUUGACAUCCAGAGAAGCCAGCGGAGACGCAGGUGUGCCUUCGGGA
rnacentral:rRNA from 1 species